rnacentral:rRNA from 1 species
UACGGGGGGGGCAAGCGUUGUUCGGAAUUACUGGGCGUAAAGGGCGCGUAGGCGGCCUGCUAAGUCGGAUGUGAAAUCCCUCGGCUCAACCGAGGAACUGCAUCCGAUACUGGCGGGCUUGAAUCCGGGAGAGGGAUGUGGAAUUCCAGGUGUAGCGGUGAAAUGCGUAGAUAUCUGGAGGAACACCGGUGGCGAAGGCGGCUCACUGGACUGGUAUUGACGCUGAGGUGCGAAAGCGUGGGGAGCAAACAGG